rnacentral:lncRNA from 1 species
CCACGCAUGACUUAGAGUUGGGGGCAGUAGUGUUCGCCCUCAAAAUUUGGCGUCACUACCUGUACGGGGUUCGUUGUACCAUAUACACGGACCAUAAGAGUUUGAAGUAUUUGAUGGAUCAACCCAACCUAAACAUGCGUCAGAGGAGAUGGUUAGACGUGGUUAAGGAUUAUGACUGUGAGAUCCUAUACCACCCAGGCAAGGCUAAUGUGGUAGCUGAUGCAUUGAGUCGUAGGGCGGAGAGUACUCCAUUGCGGGACGUGUGUUUGAGAUUGACGGUGAUGACUCCGGUAAUAGAUGCUAUUCGUGGGGCACAAGCCGAGGUCGUGAAGUCUGGGAUGCAGAAACAGGAGCGGGUCGUCGGGUUGAUUUCAGAGUUUGUUACGGAUGGGCGGGGGCUUCUGANCCAUAUACACGGACCAUAAGAGUUUGAAGUAUUUGAUGGAUCAACCCAACCUAAACAUGCGCCAGAGGAGAUGGUUAGACGUGGUUAAGGAUUAUGACUGUGAGAUCCUAUACCACCCAGGCAAGGCUAAUGUGGUAGCCGAUGCAUUGAGUCGUAGGGCGGAGGGUACUCCAUUGCGGGACGUAUGUUUGAGAUUGACGGUGGUGACUCCGGUAUUAGAUACUAUUCGUGGGGCACAGGCCGAGGUUGUGAAGUCUGGGAUGCAGAAACAGGAGCGGGUCGUCGGGUUAAUUUCAG